GGAAGUGCUUGUACACCUGGUGGUGGCCGCGGUCUUCAAAACCGUUGUGCGGCGCGUCAACCGCGUCGCAGGUGGGUUCGAUUCCCAUGCACUUCCGCCA
rnacentral:tRNA from 1 species